GCUGGCAGCAUCUCCACACGGGCAGGGGAUGGGCAUGCUCCUGUAUGCUAAGACCCAGUCCCGGGGACACCAAAAGGAACUUGUGCUUUUGGGACCAGUGGAUGGCCCCAAGGACCAGGCUGGUGGCAGCGGGCUGACCUUACAGCAGAGGAAAUGACCCAGUUGUGUUCCCCGCAGUGGGAAAGCCAGGAGAGAUUGCAUGUCCCCCUCUGCUGCUAUCUGUCCUCCCUCCUGUGAAUUCACUGUCAUCUUGUCUUUUGGCAGAGCUGGAAAACUGGGAGACCACCGUAAAUAAAUCCUGUGUCUU